AACGAACGCUGGCGGCAGGCUUAACACAUGCAAGUCGAGCGCCCCGCAAGGGGAGCGGCAGACGGGUGAGUAACGCGUGGGAAUCUACCCAUCUCUACGGAAUAACGCAUGGAAACGUGUGCUAAUACCGUAUACGUCCUUCGGGAGAAAGAUUUAUCGGAGAUGGAUGAGCCCGCGUUGGAUUAGCUAGUUGGUGGGGUAAAGGCCUACCAAGGCGACGAUCCAUAGCUGGUCUGAGAGGAUGAUCAGCCACACUGGGACUGAGACACGGCCCAGAUUCCGACGGGAGGCAGCGGUGGGGAAUAGUGGACAAGGGGCGGAGGCCUGCUCCAGCCAUGCCGCGUGGGUGAUGAAGGCCCUAGGGUUGUAAAGCUCUUUCACCGGUGGAGAUAAUGACGGUAACCGGAGAAGAAGCGCCGGCUAACUUCGUGCCAGCCGCCGCAGUAACAC
rnacentral:rRNA from 1 species